CGUUGAAACACCAGUCCCGAUACGAUCACCGAAGUUAAGCAACGUCGAGUCUGGUUAGUAACUAGAUAUGUGACCUCUUGGGAAUACAAGGUACU